UCCAGUGUCAGGUCUUUCCUUCCUCACCUUCGGGCUAUUGCAGACUCUGAGAGCACAGGUAUUUCACAGCAAAUCCUCAGUCCCUGGAGUGGAGGGGUCUGUGGCACUUUGGCUGAAGAUCUGUUGUUUUGCUUCCUGGAGAAACUUGUCAUUAAAUGAACAUAAGAGUGGAGUUUAUCAAACCACAUCGACUGGAAUGUAAAAGGGAAGUCAGCUCUUCUGAGAAUCAUCUUUCAGUCACUGUUCUCUGUCAGAAAUGUCCUACAGAAGUGCUGCAACAGACCCUGGAGGAACUGCAGGGACUUGAUGCCUGAUCUUCCAAAGAGCACAGCAAGUACUUGCACACAUCAGAAAUGGUCAGAUUUUUAUAUUAUACAUGGAGGAAAGGGAGAGCAAUGGGAGUUACUCAUGCCAAGUGCAUUGAAUCUGUGGCUCCAUGACUGAAGAUUCUUAUGUGGGAAAUGAACAGUUCUGUAGUCCUGGUUCAUAGUUAGUUGCCAGGUAACUGCUUUCAGAGAAUCAGCAGAAAAAGUGUAUUUUCUUAAUACCUAUUGAAUAGAUCAUUAUUUUGGGUUUACAAGGAGCUAGUUUAUAUUUCCACAGUGAUCCCAUUGAUUACUACCACAUGCUGCACUAAGCAAGGUCUUCCCUCAUACAUGAGCUGUCAAGAGUCAGUAUUUUAAGUAUAGGAUAUGUGAACAUGCCUUAAAAUAAUUAUUAAAUAUUUAUUGUUGUAUUCUACCUCUUACCAAGCAGGAAUACUGAAGCUGGGAAAAAAAUCCACAGGAUUUCCCUUUCCUUUUUGUUUUUCUCUUCUUGCUUUGCUCUUUCCUUUUUCCUCCUGUCCAACUUGCACACUCCAUAAUGGUGAGAAGCAGAAAAAUUGCUGGAGGAAAUGCCAGAAGUGCAGGUAAAAAUACAUCUCGGACUCAGGAGUAAGGGUUACAGACAGACAGACUUUUCUUAGGCUUUAGAAAAAUCACUGUUAGAUUUAGACAAGCUACAUAUGAAGAAAGGGCAGCUGUGGAAUGAAACAGUCCUAAAGGCAUAAAAGGUUGUGUCAAGUAUGUGAGCAAUAGAGGAGGAGCUUACAUCGCUGCUUUUCGAGUAAUUUUCUGUUUUGAUUCAGUAUGCAGAACCCUGUCUAGUGAACUCAAGACUGAGGAUAAAUGUUUUUUUUUUCCUUGCUUACUUUCAACAGGUUGAUGAGAAGUCAUCCUCCCACACCCAGAGGCCAUGGGCUGUGAACCAGUUUUCUCUGGAGCUUGCAGAGAAAAAGACUCCUUUAAAAAGCAAUCCAGUUCUGGAGCUUUAGUCAUUAACCUUUGCUGGACUGAUGCCCCUCAGAGCAGUUCCAUGUUCUACUGAAUGAAGGGAAAAACAACCCCAAAAUAUAUCCACUGGUGU